CUCUCUCCCUCCCUCUCUCCCUCCUCUUCGACAAGGACUUAUGUAGUUGAAACUGAUCUUGUAACCAAGAAUAGCUUUACUUCAAAUUCUUGAUUCCCCCCUUACCUUCCAUCUCUACCUCCCAAGUGCUGGCAUUACAGGUACCUGACACCAUGGCCUGCUCCUAAGCAUUUUCUCACUUGAAGGGCUUUGAACACACAUGAAGGGCUUUGAACACACAUGAAGGACUGUGAACACACAUGAAGGAAAGGCUAUGAACAUAUCAGGCUUUUUCUAGGUAAUUACAUCAAUAUUUCAGGGAGUGUUGCCCCCCUUUGACCUAGUCAUCUUCCACUGGAUUCCUCCUUUAAACAAUGCCACACUGGGAUCAAGCUUUCUCUACAGCAACCUUUGCAUGCACAGCACAGCAGCUUCUGAGCUUUGGGACAGCUGGCAUUUUGAGCCAGUUUCUCCCUUCAGGCUCCUGAUUUGAGUUCCUGCACUGAAUUCUCUCAGGAAUGAUAGACAGUUACCUGAAACCGUGAGCUGAAAUAAACCCGUUCUUCCACCAACUUGCUUUUGGUCACAGUCUUUAUCACAGCAUAAAAACCCAACUAAGAUAGAUGACAAGCCAACGUCAAGCUAAUAUGUCAAUGCAUUUCUUCUAUAAAGCCAGGUUAGCUGCAGAUCCUUAAGCAUCUUGGGCCAAUCCUCUGACUUUUCGGUCACUGAGAACUUAUGGAACAGUAGACAGUGGCAUCUCUCAUUCUUCAAGACCUGGCUUGGCCAGUACCUCCUUCAUGCCCUCUUCACACAUACCCAUCUCCUGGAGUGCCCUUUCUGAAGUUGCAUGCAGUCUCUUAGUGCCACAUGGUUCCUCUGGAUCCAGAAGGAAAAGAAAACGAGAGGCACAGCUGAAAAGUAGACCACAUGUGCACCGGAGAUGUUCUUUCGAAGCUCUGCGGUGGCAUGGGUCUGUGAUUAACAUGUCAGAACUUGAACAACUCUGCACCGGAAAGAUUAAUAUCUGCUACGUGAACUGUAUCUUACUGUCAGAUGGAAAAAACGAAUAAUGUGGUGUCUCUAUUCUGCAUCCCUGGCUGUCUUGGGAUUCACUCUGUAGACUAAGCCGGCCUUAAGAUCAACAGCCAGCAUCACCCAAUGCUCUUGAGCAUCUUUUUAUUCUUGCAUGGAGAAUCCAAGCUGUAAGAGGUUAAAGGCAUUGCCAAGGCUUUACCAUGAGUGCUUUGAUAAGCACAUGCCAGCUGCAGCCCCUGGGAGCAUGCUCAGUCUACAAAAUCAUACUGAAAACGAAGCCUAGCUGGAAACAUUUGACGUAUUCUGUAACUGUAAGACUUGAA